rnacentral:rRNA from 1 species
UACGGAGGGUGCAAGCGUUAUCCGGAUUUAUUGGGUUUAAAGGGUGCGUAGGCGGGCUGUUAAGUCAGUGGUGAAAGCUCCGAGCUUAACUCGGAAACUGCCAUUGAUACUGACGGUCUUGAGUACAUUUGAGGUGGGCGGAAUGUGUCAUGUAGCGGUGAAAUGCUUAGAUAUGACACAGAACACCGAUUGCGAAGGCAGCUCACUAAACUGUAACUGACGCUGAGGCACGAAAGCGUGGGGAGCAAACAGG